rnacentral:rRNA from 1 species
AGCGAACGCUGGCGGCAGGCUUAACACAUGCAAGUCGAGCGGGCGUAGCAAUACGUCAGCGGCAGACGGGUGAGUAACGCGUGGGAACGUACCUUUUGGUUCGGAACAACCCAGGGAAACUUGGGCUAAUACCGGAUAAGCCCUUACGGGGAAAGAUUUAUCGCCGAAAGAUCGGCCCGCGUCUGAUUAGCUAGUUGGUGAGGUAAUGGCUCACCAAGGCGACGAUCAGUAGCUGGUCUGAGAGGAUGAUCAGCCACAUUGGGACUGAGACACGGCCCAAACUCCUACGGGAGGCAGCAGUGGGGAAUAUUGGACAAUGGGCGCAAGCCUGAUCCAGCCAUGCCGCGUGAGUGAUGAAGGCCCUAGGGUUGUAAAGCUCUUUUGUGCGGGAAGAUAAUGACGGUACCGCAAGAAUAAGCCCCGGCUAACUUCGUGCCAGCAGCCGCGGUAAUACGAAGGGGGCUAGCGUUGCUCGGAAUCACUGGGCGUAAAGGGUGCGUAGGCGGGUCUUUAAGUCAGGGGUGAAAUCCUGGAGCUCAACUCCAGAACUGCCUUUGAUACUGAAGAUCUUGAGUCCGGGAGAGGUGAGUGGAACUGCGAGUGUAGAGGUGAAAUUCGUAGAUAUUCGCAAGAACACCAGUGGCGAAGGCGGCUCACUGGCCCGGUACUGACGCUGAGGCACGAAA